UACGGAGGGGGCUAGCGUUGUUCGGAAUUACUGGGCGUAAAGCGCACGUAGGCGGCUUUGUAAGUUAGAGGUGAAAGCCCAGGGCUUAACCCUGGAAUUGCCUUUAAGACUGCAUCGCUAGAAUCGUGGAGAGGUAAGUGGAAUUCCGAGUGUAGAAGUGAAAUUCGUAGAUAUUCGGAAGAACACCAGUGGCGAAGGCGACUUACUGGACACGUAUUGACGCUGAGG
rnacentral:rRNA from 1 species